rnacentral:rRNA from 1 species
GUGAGGAAUUUUGCGCAAUGGGGGCAACCCUGACGCAGCGACGCCGCGUGGAGGACGAAGUCUUUCGGGAUGUAAACUCCUGUCAGUGGGGACGAUAAUGACGGUACCCACAGAGGAAGCACCGGCUAACUCCGUGCCAGCAGCCGCGGUAAGACGGAGGGUGCAAGCGUUGUUCGGAAUUACUGGGCGUAAAGCGUAUGUAGGCGGCAAGUUAAGUUCAAUGUUAAAGCCCACGGCUCAACCGAGGAGAUGCAUUGAAUACUGGCUAGCUAGAGGGUGUUAGAGGAAGACGGAAUUCCCAGUGUAGCGAUGAAAUGCGUAGAUAUUGGGAGGAACAUCGGUAGCGAAAGCGGUCUUCUGGGACAUACCUGACGCUGAGGUACGAAAGCGUGGGGAGCAAACGGGAUUAGAAACCCUUGUAGUCC